CGAUUGNGAAGGCAGCUUGCUGGACUGUAACUGACGCUGAGGCACGAAAGCGUGGGGAUCAAACAGGAUUAGAUACCCUGGUAGUCCACGCCGUAAACGAUGAAUGCUAGCUGUUAGCGAUAUACUGUUAGCGGCACAGAGAAAUCGUUAAGCAUUCCACCUGGGGAGUACGCCGGCAACGGUGAAACUCAAAGGAAUUGACGGGGGCCCGCACAAGCGGAGGAACAUGUGGUUUAAUUCGAUGAUACGCGAGGAACCUUACCUGGGCUUAAAUUGCAGUGGAAUAACGUGGAAACAUGUUAGCCUUCGGGCCGCUGUGAAGGUGCUGCAUGGUUGUCGUCAGCUCGUGCCGUGAGGUGUCGGCUUAAGUGCCAUAACGAGCGCAACCCUCAUCGAUAGUUACUAACAGGUUAAGCUGAGGACUCUAUCGAGACUGCCGACGUAAGUCGUGAGGAAGGUGGGGAUGACGUCAAAUCAGCACGGCCCUUACGUCCAGGGCUACACACGUGUUACAAUGGGGGGUACAAAGGGCAGCUACCUGGCGACAGGAUGCUAAUCUCAAAAACCUCUCUCAGUUCGGAUUGGAGUCUGCAACCCGACUCCAUGAAGCUGGAUUCGCUAGUAAUCGCGCAUCAGCCACGGCGCGGUGAAUACGUUCCCGGGCCUUGUACACACCGCCCGUCAAGCCAUGGGAGCCGGGGGGACCUGAAGUAUGCAACCGUAAGGAGCGUCCUAGGGUAAAACUGGUGACUGGGGCU
rnacentral:rRNA from 1 species